rnacentral:lncRNA from 1 species
ACGGGCCUCUGCGGCGUCUGAGAGCCCGAGACGGCGGAGCGGAGCAGGCCGGUGCCGGGGAGGGUCAGGACGGGGAGAGACGCGGAGGGAAGACGGGCAGUGCGCGACCACCGGAGGGUUCAGGCCCGGGGCUGCAUGGCGAAACGGGGAGAAGGAGGAUUUGAUGGUCUGAAGGUGGAUCAGUUUCAUCGCCACAAUAGUCCAUCAGCAUUUUAAUGUCUUUUGUUUCAUUUGCGUUGAUUUCAAAUGCAUCGAUCAGGCCAGUAGUGUUUUUGUUUCAUCAUGCCUCUCGAUCUGGACAGUGACGCAGCGGCGAACAAAACGAGUCCAGAGGCGGAACAGGAAGUGUGUGAGGUCACACAUGAAGAGAGAGUGACGGACACACCAACACGAAGAGUUGGACGACCCGCUCGAAAACGCAAAACACCAGGAGAACAGGAAACUACAGUUGCAGCAGGCGGAAGUUUGAAGAGUGUGAGAGAGAGACAGACAGAUACAGAGGGAGGUAG